GUUGAAGUACGCAUGGAGGUUCUGUAGGCUAACAGAGUCAAAGGCAAUAGGUUAGGCCAAUCUUUCUGGUUGGCAGACAUCUUCUGCAUAAUCUUCUUGAUGUUUUUGUUAGCCGCUUCAAUUGCACGGUUCAUCUUCGGACGAUAGAUGACAGAGUUAAGAUGUUUGACGUGGAAUUUACUGCAUAAUUCCACCAUCAUUUUGU
rnacentral:lncRNA from 1 species